AGGGAUAUUUAAACCCAUCGAAAAUCUAGUAACAAUUGGAGGACAAGUCUGGUGCCAGCACCCGCGGUAAUUCCAGCUCCAAAAGCGUAUAUUAAUGCUGUUGCUGUUAAAGGGUUCGUAGUUGAACUGUGGGCUGUGUAGGUUUGUUCCUGGUCGUCCCGUCCAUGUCGGAUUUUGGUGGCCCAGGCCCUUGCAGCCCGUGAACAUUCAAAGAAACAAGAAACACGGGAGUGGUUCCUUUCCUGACUCACGCAUGUCAUGCAUGCUGCAGGGGGCGUCCGUGAUUUUUACUGUGACUAAAGAAGUGUGACUAAAGCAGUCAUUUGACUUGAAUUAGCAAGCAUGGGAUAACAAAGGAGCAGCCUUUAGGCUACCGUUUCGGCUUUUGUUGGUUUUAAAGGUCUAUUGGAGAUUAUGGAGCUGUGCGACAAGUGCUUUCGCAUUCCGUACUCUUGUGGU
rnacentral:rRNA from 1 species